AAUAAUAAAAAAAACAGAGUAAAAAAAAACAGUAGUACUAAUAGUUUUAAAUUUAGAUACUAAGCAUAUAUUUUGUAAAAGAGAGAAUUCAAAACACAUUGACUGGCCAGUUGGUUGCUUAAACCAGUGCCAAUAAAACAUAAACACACACACAAGAUACAAUAAUAAUAUAAAUAUUUGAAUGAUAUGCUUUUUAUCUUUAUGCUGACAAACCUUUGCGAUUGCACACAUAUUGUGUAAAUUAGUUCCAAGAUCAUAAAAAACGAAAAUAUUAAAAGCUCGUCAUCAAAUAAAUCCAUAUUUUUAGAGUUAACAGACAUGUUCUUUUAAUAAAAUUAGAAAAAGAUCGUUCCACAAAAUUUAUUUUGAGAAGAAAAAUAAUUAAUAGCACAAGUGACAGUGACACAAAACAGCUGUUUACCAUAUAAUGGGGAACUUGCACAUUUUUUUUUAUUACUUAAUAAUGUUCAGUUUUGUAUAAAAAUGAGAUUUCCAAAAUUUCCCGCUUCAAAAACUCAUAAUAACUUAGAAAUACAAAUUUAAAGUCUUCUUUAUUUUAAAGUAGUUCAGACGGCCCGUGACGUCACAUAGUUUUACAUUAGUUUUUUAUAUGGUUAUAUCAGUGAUGUGGGAGGGUUAUAUGGGAGAGAUUAAAUGUCCAGCAAACGACGGCAAUGUUGCCAGAUUCCUACAGUUCGCUUUUAAAUUUGACAGUUCUGUUUUCUCAAGUCAAAAAUCUUAACCUUACUUUUACAAGUGAUUAGGAUUAUUAUUAUUAUUUUAUUUACAUGUAAAUUGAAACAAUAAAUAUUGUGCUGUGUCAUAAUUUCAAACUCAUUAUGUUGCAGUCUUUUCCAGUUGAUAAAAUUGCAAUUCAAAAACUUUUAGAUUUGCACUGUAUGGCUGGCACAGGAAGAGAACAAGAGUACAAGAACAUGAAACAUCUUAUUAUGAAUGUAUAUGUAUGUGAUCCUCAAAAAAUUAUUUUACAGAACAAGAUAGAGAAAGAGCUUUAAAAUCCCAAGGAUCCUGCAAAAUGUUUAUUUGGUGUACCUACUAGUCGAAUAAUAGUAUCUAAAAAUAUUGAAACUAUUUUAAAACAGAUUACAGGCACUUCAAAGUAUAUUUUGAGACUUUCUUCAAAAAUUAAACUUCAGACUGUUCAGGAUAGCAUAAUAGCAUAGGAGGCGAAUUAAAAAGAAUUGAUUUACUUACAAGAAAAGAUAUCACAAACAUUAAACUCUCUUAUGGCAUUGAUUUGAAAGAUGGGUAUAUGUACAAUGAUGAUGCAACCAGUGUUUAUUUUUGGGUUGAAUGCUUACAGACUCAUGUCCAAUAUUAUUUUACAAUCAACAGGGAAUACUAAUGGAUAUUCAUUCUGAAUUUAACAUCUAUGAUUUUUGUCUUAUUUGCAUGAAUGCUGUGCCAAAAGGAAAUGUUAAUUAAGUUUGGUAAAUCCUUUAUCGCAAUCGAUGGAACUCAUGGGCUCAAUUCCUAUUCCUGACUUUGAACUUAUGAUAGUAUUAGUAAAAGAUGAAUUUGGGAAUGGAUUUUGUACUGCUUUCUUAUUUUCAAAUAGAAAAGAUACCUACUUUAAUUUACCAAUUUUUUAAAAUACAUGUCUGUGUUGGUAUUAUAUGUAUAGUCAAAUGUUUUCAUAUCAGGCAUAAUCUACACCUUUUACAAUGCCUCGUCAAAUGUAAUGGGUAUUGCUCCUAAUAGACUGUUAAGUGCCUGGCACAUAGAUAGGGCAUGGUAAGUAAAUCUUAAUAAAAUAUCUGAUUCUGAAAAAAAUCCUAUUAUGUAUACAAGAUGUAUUAAUGAUGGUUUAGAGAGUAUUAAUAGCUUUUUGGGUAGACUUCUAAGUGAUGCAGAUACAUACAAUUUUAGUAAGUAUUUCCAGUAGAACUACUGCAAUAACAUCCAACAAUGGGUCUAUUGUUAUAGGAAGAGGUUGUGGAAUUAAUACCAAUAUGACCAUUCAAAAUUUUCAUAAAAUUUUGGAUAAAAGGGUAUCCAUUAGUUGUUAUCAGUUAAGUUUAAAACUUGGCACUCAUGGAGAGCUAUACCAUAAUAUAUAAUAGGUAUAUCUCAUAUUGUUCACUACAGUAGUAAUGAGUGAGCCUGCAUACACAGAACCAUAAUAAUAUAUUAUAGUUCGUGUAUGCAGGCUCACUCAUUACAAUAGUGAGCAAUAUGAGAUAUAACAUAUUAUAGUAUAAGUCUCUGUGCAUGACCAGAUUAACAUGUUUGGUGCCCAUCUCAAACAAGCUGGUACCACAUACUUAAAUCAUUUAUUUAGUUACACAGUACUACUCGCAUAACUUAUGUGUCGUCGGUACCUUCCGUAAAACCUUCGUGAUGCUACCCAUACGUCAUGACCACUGAAUGUGUUAAAGCUUGUUAAUGUAGGAGAGUUAUACUAAAAUAUAUAUCUUAUAUUAUAUUGCCUUAAAUAGAAAAAAUAUCUUAUUUAAAUUGUAUCCAUGUAAGUUUUGAUUUAAUGAAAUAAACCUUUUAAUCAAAAAAGUGUUGUUUACUUGUGUACACCCAGCAAUAUCCUGAUCAUAGAUAAAUAAUAUAGUAUUACCGGAUCCUGAUAUGCAGACGCCAAUAGGGCUUUUCAUCGAUUGUCAUUUGUUUCGAGCUUCUGUCAUGAGUCACAUAAUAU
rnacentral:lncRNA from 1 species